GUUGAAGAGUGACGUCCAGUCCCCGCCCUCCCCUCCGGCCACGUGCAAAGACUCGAAAGGAAAGAGGGCGGCGGGAGGCCUGCUGGAUGGGAUAGUUCUGGGACUGCCAAGACAGAGCCUCGAUUCCUGCCCUUAAGGAGCUCAACAUCUGGUUAAGGACCACAGACAAGGAAAGUAGACUAAUGCUAAUAGAGAACAAGAAGAAGAGAGGGCCAAGGAUUUGGCACCCAUUUGGCAGCCUCUAUUGACCUGUUCCUGAAAAACAGAAGAAACGUCAAUGAACGAGAACACGUGACUAGG